UACAGAGGUCUCAAGCGUUGUUCGGAUUCAUUGGGCGUAAAGGGUGCGUAGGUGGCCAGAUAGGUCUGUUGUGAAAACUCGAGGCUCAACCUCGAGACGCCGAUGGAAACCAUCUGGCUAGAGUCCGGAAGAGGAGAGUGGAAUUCCUGGUGUAGCGGUGAAAUGCGCAGAUAUCAGGAAGAACACCCGUGGCUAAGGCGGCUCUCUAGUACGGUACUGACGCUGAGACGCGAAAGCGUGGGGAGCGAACAGG
rnacentral:rRNA from 1 species